UAGAUUGUAGUAGGCCUUCCCCCCUAAAAAUGUAAUAGUUAGGGCCUUAAUUGCCUUAUGUGUGUUGCAUGCUUAGGUGCUAUGUGUUUAAUCGCUUUUUCUUAGGUUUUGGCAUCUAGAUAAGUAUGCUUAUGUGCUAUGUGUUAUGUGAAAAUACGUGCCUUGCAUGUCUACUUGCUUUUAUUUAUAUUUGCUUAUAUAGAUGAAUGUACGUCACCGUGGCUAGUCCAAUGCUAGUCAUGGUCUUCCCCCUCGAACUCUCGCAAGUCCAAUGCUUGUGAAAAAGCGUUAGUGAAGGGUUAGUCCAAUGCUAGACCCAUUAGGGCCGUCCCCGCGCUAGCACAUACUUGCAUGCCUUCAUUACAUCUUCAUUCAUUCUUUCCUUUUAGUUUUACAUUUUGCAUGACCCUUC
rnacentral:lncRNA from 1 species